rnacentral:misc_RNA from 1 species
GUAGGAGUGAGCCUGCUCGCGAUAGCGUCGAGUCAGUCAAAUGAUCUUGUUUUGACCCACCGCAAUCGCGAGCAGGCUCGCUCCCAC